CACCCGUUCCCAUUCCGAACACGGCAGUUAAGCUCUUCAGCGCCGAUGGUAGUUGGGGGUUUCCCCCUGUGAGAGUAGGACGCCGCCA
rnacentral:rRNA from 1 species